CAGGACGAACGCUGGCGGCGUGCUUAACACAUGCAAGUCGAACGGAAAGGCCCUGCUUGCAGGGUACUCGAGUGGCGAACGGGUGAGUAACACGUGGGUGAUCUGCCCUGCACUUCGGGAUAAGCUUGGGAAACUGGGUCUAAUACCGGAUAGGAACCAUCUUUAGUGUGGUGGUUGGAAAGUUUUUUCGGUGUAGGAUGAGCUCGCGGCCUAUCAGCUUGUUGGUGGGGUAAUGGCCUACCAAGGCGGCGACGGGUAGCCGGCCUGAGAGGGUGUACGGCCACAUUGGGACUGAGAUACGGCCCAGACUCCUACGGGAGGCAGCAGUGGGGAAUAUUGCACAAUGGGCGCAAGCCUGAUGCAGCGACGCCGCGUGGGGGAUGAAGGCCUUCGGGUUGUAAACUCCUUUCGCUAGGGACGAAGCUUUUUGUGACGGUACCUAGAUAAGAAGCACCGGCUAACUACGUGCCAGCAGCCGCGGUAAUACGUAGGGUGCGAGCGUUGUCCGGAAUUACUGGGCGUAAAGGGCUCGUAGGUGGUUUGUCGCGUCGUCUGUGAAAUUCUGGGGCUUAACUCCGGGCGUGCAGGCGAUACGGGCAUAACUUGAGUGCUGUAGGGGUAACUGGAAUUCCUGGUGUAGCGGUGAAAUGCGCAGAUAUCAGGAGGAACACCGAUGGCGAAGGCAGGUUACUGGGCAGUUACUGACGCUGAGGAGCGAAAGCAUGGUAGCGAACAGGAUUAGAUACCUGU
rnacentral:rRNA from 1 species